AUUGGUCAUCGCUGGCCGUCGCUCAAGUGCUCUCCCGGUGGAUGCUCUGAGGUGGGUGGAGAGCCGGAAAGCCCGGGAGCCGACUCUAGGGUAAAGGCCAUGUCGCCUCCUGGGAAAGUUCCCCGGAAGGAGAACCUGGGGCUCCAGUGUGAGUGGGGGUCCUGCUCCUUUUUGUGCUCAGCCAUGGAGGAGUUCUGCGAGCAUGUCACUCAGCACCUGCAGCAGCAUCUGCACAGUCCCGGGGAGGAGGAGGGAGAAGAAGACGAGGACAACCCACUUGAGGAAGAAUUCUCCUGCUUGUGGCAGGAAUGUGGCUUUUGCUCUCUGGACAAUUCAGCUGACCUCAUCCGCCACGUCUACUUCCACUGCUACCACACCAAGCUCAAACAGUGGGGGCUGCAGGCCUUGCAAAGCCAGGCUGACCUCAGCCCCUGCAUCCUGGACUUCCAGAGCCGGAAUAUCAUCCCUGACAUCCCUGACCACUUUCUGUGUCUGUGGGAACAUUGUGAGAGCUCCUUCGACAAUCCUGAGUGGUUUUAUCGGCACGUGGACGCACACUGCCUGUGCUGUGACUACCAAGCGGUCGGCAAGGACAACCAUGUGGUGCUGUGUGGCUGGAAAGGCUGUACUUGCACCUUCAAGGACCGCUGUAAGCUUCGAGAGCACCUCCGCAGCCACACCCAGGAAAAGGUGGUGGCCUGCCCUACCUGCGGGGGAAUGUUCGCCAACAACACUAAGUUCUUAGAUCACAUCCGUCGCCAGACCUCCUUGGAUCAACAGCGCUUCCAGUGCUCUCACUGUUCCAAGAGAUUUGCCACAGAGCGGCUGUUGAGGGACCACAUGCGCAACCAUGUGAAUCACUAUAAGUGCCCUCUGUGUGACAUGACCUGCCCGCUGCCUUCCUCCCUCCGCAACCACAUGCGCUUUCGCCACAGUGAGGACCGGCCCUUUAAGUGUGACUGUUGUGACUACAGCUGCAAGAAUAUGAUUGACCUCCGGAAACACCUGGACACCCACAGCAAGGGGCCAGCCUACAGGUGUGACUUUGAGAACUGCAGCUUCAGUGCCCGGACCCUCUGCUCUAUCAAGUACCAUUACCGCAGAGUGCAUGAAGGAGACUCAGAGCCAAGAUACAAGUGUCAUGUGUGUGACAAAUGCUUCACGCGGGGCAACAACCUCACCGUGCAUCUUCGUAAGAAGCACCAGUUCAGAUGGCCCUCAGGGCACCCCCGUUUUCGGUACAAGGAGCAUGAAGAUGGCUACAUGCGGCUGCAGUUGGUUCGCUACGAGAGUGUGGAGCUGACACAGCAACUGCUGAGGCAGCCACAAGAGGGCUCAGGCCUGGGAGUGGCGCUGAGUGAGAGCAGCCUGCAGGGCAUCAUUCUGGAAACAGAGCUGGGAGAGCCAGGACCUGAAGAGGAGGCAGAAGAUGGGAGUGGGCACAGUGAAGCGACAGCUCUCUCUGCCUCUCAGGACAGCUCAAGCCCUGUUAUCCACGUGGUGAAUCAGACCAAUGCCCAAGGCCAGCGAGAGAUUGUCUACUAUGUGCUGUCUGAAGCCCCAGGAGAGCCACCCCCAGUCCCUGAACCACCCUCAGGGGUCUUGGAAAAGCUUCAAGGAGUAGCUGAGGAGCCAGAGGUCCAGAUGGCAUGAAGGCUACAAAGCCUGACCAUUCCUACCCCAGGCCUUGAGGUUUGAGCCAGGCAGGUAGCAGUGUCCCUGGUGGGCAGCCUUUGCCAAUGAAUGCCUUCAGGAGUGGUGCUGAAAACAGUGUGGUCCCCUGUGGCCCAGGGAUUGAACUCGGGACCUUGCACUUGAAAGGCAGGUGCGGCACCACUGAGUGUUGGGAAUGAAAUCCAAGACCUUAUAUACAUUGGACAAGUGCUCUACCCCAUAGUUGCAUCCCAGCCUUAAUUCUUACUACAAAAACAGUGUGCCUGUGGACUGAAUAAAACUUCUUUAAAAACGGAAAGCCAAACAGACACACACAAAAGUGUGCCUAUUAUAGGUAGAGUUAAAAAAUAAAAAUCUGUUCCAUCAGCCAUUACUGAGUUCCAACUGUUGUCUGGGCACACAUACUGAGGAUAUAAAGAUGAAUAAAACCCAGAGCCUACCCUGGAGGGGCUUGCAGUAUUUAGAGAUAAGAAUGGACUAGGUAUGUAGUGACAGAAACUUCGUGGAGUACAUUUCGAAGGCUCAAAGAUUAGCCAUUUGGUGAUGAAGCUCAGAGGCAGAGCCCAUAAUUAGCAUGCAUGAGGCCCUGGGUUCAGUCCCCAGCACCACAAAAACAAACAUCAGGGUAGACAGCAGUACCUGGGCGGUACAUCAGGAAAGGCUUUACCCAAGAAGAGACUUCCUCCUAACCAAGACCAAGUGACUACAAAACCCUGUAAAGGUGUAGUACCCCACUUUUCAUAAUGCUGUGUAAUUUUAAAACAUUAAAUUGCAAGAGCCAGGUGUGGUAUCCCUGUGAUAAGCACUCCAGUAGCUGAUGUAGGAUGAUGUACGUUCAAGACUCCCCUGGACUACAUAGACCUUAUUUCAAACAAAAACCUGUGAAAUUACACAGUACAAGAGUAAAGAGACACCCUCUUACUUUUUCUUAAAGGGUAUACAGGAAGGGAGCCCAGGUAUUAGAAGCUGGUGCGCUUUUCUUCCUUUGGGAGAGGUGAACACGGUCUUGCUAUAUGGUUCGGACUGGCCUUGACAACUAUGUAGCUCAGGCUGGCCUUGAACUUUUGGUGAAUCCUGCCUCAGUCUCCCAGUUUUCUUGGGGCAGGUCCUCAACUUUAGAGAAGGGCACAGAAGCACUGAGUGCCUAUGAAAAAUAAUUCUCCAAGGUGAGAAGAUCGAGGAAUGUCAUGGGGAAUAAAUUCUUUCAUUUCUGUUAAGAUGACAUGAGCAUUAAAUGAGACCACCUAAAAAACAGCUGUUCACCAAGAUCAGGCUGUAGUAACUUCAUACCAGUGCCCCUGGAACAAAAGCAGAAGACAGGGCCCGGGAUCUAGCUCAGAGGUGCUGCCACCUGCCUUGCAAGCACAAGGUCCUGAGUUUGAUCCCUGGUACCAAAAAAAAAACCACUGGGUGACCCACAGUGACAACAUGACGUGAAUGGAUUGCACAGGGUCAAAUAGCAGGACACCUAGAGCAGCUAAAAUGGAUCAUAAGGUCCAGACUGAACAGAGAUACUGGAAGGUACUAGUUAGCAUAAAAGACCUGGAGGCUUCAUUGAGGUCUCUGAAGAUGAGCAGGCAGGAAGGGAAACUAGGGGCAGAAAGGACAGUUUUGUUUUGUUUUUUUUUCCAGUACUGGGGAUUGAACUCAGGACCGUAUGCUUGUGAGGCAGGCUCAGUGUCACUGAGCUAAAUCCCGGGCCAUUUGGGGUCCAGAGUGUGUCCACUAGGAAGUAGGCUGUGGGGUGAGGCAGAGGUCAUUGGAGUAGAAGGGACCACUGGAUGGCAAUGACCUCUGUCUCAUCUGCCUUGUGUUAGAAGGGGAAUAGGUAGGUCCCAGCACAAAGCUGGGAAACACUUGACCUGAAGUUGGUUCUGCAAAGCCAUAGAGCGGUGAGACUCAAGUUCUCAGAACAAAGAAAAAGCCUUGGAGAACAUUGGUAUUCUGCAGCUUUGGAGGGCUGCCCACUGCGUAGCCCAGUGUUCACUUUCUUAUUGAAGGAAAUGACACAUCAAAGGAGAGAAAAAGGAGUACUGCACUUUUAAUAUGCAUAUCGCUAUUACUUUAUUUUAUUACAUUCUUUUAGCUU